rnacentral:tRNA from 1 species
GAGGGCACAGCUCUGGUAGAGCACAUGCUUAGCAUGCAUGAGGUCCUGGGUUCAAUCCCCAGUACCGCCA